rnacentral:rRNA from 1 species
GUGUCAGCAGCCGCGGUAAUACGUAGGUGGCAAGCGUUGUCCGGAUUUAUUGGGUUUAAAGGGUGCGUAGGCGGUCCUGUAAGUCUGUAGUGAAAUAUCCCGGCUCAACCGGGAGGGUGCUAUGGAUACUGCAGGACUUGAGUAAAGUCGAGGCAGGCGGAAUUGACGGUGUAGCGGUGAAAUGCAUAGAUAUCGUCAAGAACACCUAUAGCGAAGGCAGCUUGCUAGGCUUUAACUGACGCUGAUGCACGAAAGUGUGGGGAUCAAACAGGAUUAGAUACCCUGGUAGUCCACACUGUAAACUAUGAUCACUCGAUGUGUGCGAUACACUGUACGCGUCCAAGAGAAAUCGUUAAGUGAUCCACCUGGGGAGUACGCCGGCAACGGUGAA